rnacentral:rRNA from 1 species
AGCGAACGCUGGCGGCAGGCCUAACACAUGCAAGUCGAACGAACCUUUCGGGGUUAGUGGCGGACGGGUGAGUAACACGUGGGAUCGUGCCUUUAGGUUCGGAAUAACUCAGGGAAACUUGUGCUAAUACCGAAUGUGCCCUUCGGGGGAAAGAUCUAUCGCCUUUAGAGCGGCCCGCGUCUGAUUAGCUAGUUGGUUGAGGUAAUGGCUCACCAAGGCGACGAUCAGUAGCUGGUCUGAGAGGAUGAUCAGCCACAUUGGGACUGAGACACGGCCCAAACUCCUACGGGAGGCAGCAGUGGGGAAUCUUGCGCAAUGGGCGAAAGCCUGACGCAGCCAUGCCGCGUGAAUGAUGAAGGUCUUAGGAUUGUAAAAUUCUUUCACCGGGGACGAUAAUGACGGUACCCGGAGAAGAAGCCCCGGCUAACUUCGUG